UGACAUUACUGCCGAUAUGACCGAGCAGUGCAUUGGCAGUAUGCCAAGGGCAGUAACAUGCCGUCAGUCACGUCAGUCAUCGGCCUUGGCUAUCUGUAAGAAUCUUGGCAGGAAUCUUGGCCUUUUCUUGGACCCAUAGCCUCGGCCUUCGACCAAUCAUAUCGCCGACUUCGCAGGCAGUGAGAGACAAAUGCGGCGUGCCGAAGACAAAUUGGGUGUCUCAAAAUCACUGAGAACUCUAUAGCUCAAAAUUUAAUCCCUGUACUUUUUUAGAUCUACCCCGUGGACGGUGGAGUGGCAUUCUUGUGAAAAUUAUGUAAAUAUAUUUAUCAGAAUAAGGGAGGAGUGUAGGAGGCGGCGGGUGAGGUGCAGAAGAAGAAGAAGAAGUUGUACCUAUCCAGUAAUUUUAUCUUGAUCUGUGGACUAGACAGACUAGAUUCUGAUGAAGAAAUCGACAAACUUGAACUGCAGGACUCGUGGCGCUGCUCGCCUCCUCGCCAAUGCGAACGCGUUCUCUGAGGACAACCCGCCCAAGGCUACCAUGGCGAAGCCACGCCACCGCGCCGGCUAUAGACUCACGGCCUGAAGCGAGUUUGGGCGCGACGGCUGGCGAGCCAAGGCGGCGGAAAGUCGUCUGGCGGAGCUCCCGUCUGAGGCGAGCUUGAUCUGGUCAGACAGCUCCGCCACUGAUGGUGUGCUAGAUGGAGGAGGAGGGGCCACCCCCCCCCCGAACUGCGACAUCCGAGAGGUGCGUGUCGCGGCAGGCGCCCUCUGCUCUAGCACGCGCGGCGAGCUGUUCGCCCUAAGAGCGGUGUUGGAGGAGCUGGCCGGACGGAUGGUACCGGUCGAUAUGGGUCGACCGCCGUCUAUCCCAACGGUAGCGCCGAUCGACGUGGGCGCUACCUCCAAGGCAGGCGCGCCACGGCAGGCGCGCGCGCGACGCUGCGCGCGCCUGGCAGCGGAGCUGGCCGGACGGAUGGUACCGGUCGAUAUGGGUCGACCGCUGUCCUGGCUCCGUCCUGGAGGCCGACCGUGCAGUCGUUAUCGACAUCUGCCAGUACCUGCUCUGCAUCGGCCGCCUCCCGAGGCCGGAUUCCCACAAUGCAACGACGUGGAGUGCCCUGCUGCCCGAUGCCGCGUCUGCCGCGAAGAGGCUGGCACUCCACGGUAUGUGCUGCUGCGAUGCGCGGCGCUGGCGGCGUUGCGACAAAGAGCCUCGGCAGCUGAACUGCUUCAAGCGACGUAACGAUAUCUGCCCUCCCCUCCCCUAUCGAGCCGCGUGGGUGUGGACGGACGGGUCGGCAGACGCGAGAACCUGCAGCGAAGGAGCUGGGGUCUACGGGGUUGGGCGGAGUCCUACCGAUGAAUGCCGCGAGUGCUGCAACAUUGGCUCGGUACAUCUCGGUACAUUUUCCCGAGUCUGGUGUGGCUACGGGGAGACGGAUUUGGUGACCCUUGCUGCCGCCGUGAGAACCAUCCAGAACCGUACGGCUAUGCUGCGGCAGCGGCUGAAAGGAACGCAACAACAAUAACUACAACAGCAGCUGCUAAUGAAAGGGGAAAUCAUGGAGCCGGAUGACCCGGCACAUGGCGCUCAGCCAGCUGAGAAUGAGAGCAGCUAUCAAAUCGCCAGCAGGGUGCUGCGGCUGGUAACUGACGACCUUGGUAGAGAGAGCGCCUCCGCUGAUGCGGAUGAAACUACCCCCUCUCGGGUUUGUUUGACGCCGUCUCCGUCGACUCUUUCGCCUGGGGCGGCUGGCGACCGCGACAUUUCUUGUGCAGUGACUCGUAACUAUGUUCACCAAACUUUUAAAACUCCCCACGUUAGCAUCUUUAAAGAAUGUUUUCCUUGUACACUGCUGCAAUGUCUUAUGUAGGCAUAUUGUAGGUACAGUCUAAACGAGUGUGGAAUGCUUUGUUGUGCUUGUUCUGUAUUUCGUUUGCUAUUCAUCACGGUGACUAUGAUUUAUUUUGACCAACCCUUGCCUUGUUACAAUUUUAGUGGAUGGUUUCUGAACUGCUGUUUGCAUUAUAGAUGUUGCUAGUGCGUAGACGCCAAAGAUUACUUUAUACCUAUUGACGCGCCAGAUAAAGGAGGUGAAGUAAUCCUCUGAUCUAUACCUACGAAAUUCCUUUAUGUGUGUUUUGUAAUAGAUAUUGGCGGUUUUCUUAUGUGAUGUGGUGUAGAGCGUGGCUGAGGAAGGCGAUGUUUAAAGUUGCUAGUUAUUUUUCAAUACAUCUAUGAUCGGAC